rnacentral:rRNA from 1 species
CACGUGGGUAACCUGCCCCGAUGAUUGGGACGAACCCGACGGAAACUACGGGCGUAAUACCGAAUGUGCCCUCCGGCCAUAAGGCCGCUGGGGAAAGGGAAGCUUCGGCCUCCGCAUCGGGAUGGGCCCGCGGCCCAUUAGCUUGUUGGUGAGGUAACGGCUCACCAAGGCUGCGAUGGGUAGCUGGUCUGAGAGGACGAUCAGCCACACUGGGACUGAGACACGGCCCAGACUCCUACGGGAGGCAGCAGUGGGGAAUCUUGCGCAAUGCGCGAAAGCGUGACGCAGCAACGCCGCGUG